AGUCGAGCGGCAGCGGAAAGUAGCUUGCUACUUUGCCGGCGAGCGGCGGACGUGUGAGUAAUGUCUGGGAAACUGCCUGAUGGAGGGGGAUAACUACUGGAAACGGUAGCUAAUACCGCAUGACCUCGAAAGAGCAAAGUGGGGGAUCUUCGGACCUCACGCCAUCGGAUGUGCCCAGAUGGGAUUAGCUAGUAGGUGAGGUAAUGGCUCACCUAGGCGACGAUCCCUAGCUGGUCUGAGAGGAUGACCAGCCACACUGGAACUGAGACACGGUCCAGACUCCUACGGGAGGCAGCAGUGGGGAAUAUUGCACAAUGGGCGCAAGCCUGAUGCAGCCAUGCCGCGUGUGUGAAGAAGGCCUUAGGGUUGUAAAGCACUUUCAGCGAGGAGGAAGGCAUCAUACUUAAUACGUGUGGUGAUUGACGUUACUCGCAGAAGAAGCACCGGCUAACUCCGUGCCAGCAGCCGCGGUAAUACGGAGGGUGCAAGCGUUAAUCGGAAUUACUGGGCGUAAAGCGCACGCAGGCGGUUUGUUAAGUCAGAUGUGAAAUCCCCGCGCUUAACGUGGGAACUGCAUUUGAAACUGGCAAGCUAGAGUCUUGUAGAGGGGGGUAGAAUUCCAGGUGUAGCGGUGAAAUGCGUAGAGAUCUGGAGGAAUACCGGUGGCGAAGGCGGCCCCCUGGACAAAGACUGACGCUCAGGUGCGAAAGCGUGGGGAGCAAACAG
rnacentral:rRNA from 1 species